UCUUGUUUUAGCCUGUCCAAGUUUGGUGCGUUCAUUGAAGGACUUGGUGCUCGAACAGCUGCCGUUGAUGAAUUAGGCACUGGCUUGAUAGCUAAAGCCAAAACAGGACCACUUGUAUCAGUAGGCAACCUCUCUCGCAUAUAUUGUUGCUGAGCGACUGAACCAGCCUCAACUCGAGCGGUCUCAUCCAAUCUAGAUGCCAACAUCUUUUUUCUCUUAAUCUUUUCCUGAUCCUUAUGUCUGCUGUACAAGGACCUCCGUCUCUCUUUUGCCCUACAAAUUGCACG
rnacentral:misc_RNA from 1 species